AAAUUGAAGAGUUUGAUCAUGGCUCAGAUUGAAUGCUGGCGGCAGGCCUAACACAUGCAAGUCGAACGGUAACAGGAAACAGCUUGCUGUUUCGCUGACGAGUGGCGGACGGGUGAGUAAUGUCUGGGAAACUGCCUGAUGGAGGGGGAUAACUACUGGAAACGGUAGCUAAUACCGCAUAACGUCGCAAGACCAAAGAGGGGGACCUUCGGGCCUCUUGCCAUCGGAUGUGCCCAGAUGGGAUUAGCUUGUUGGUGGGGUAACGGCUCACCAAGGCGACGAUCCCUAGCUGGUCUGAGAGGAUGACCAGCCACACUGGAACUGAGACACGGUCCAGACUCCUACGGGAGGCAGCAGUGGGGAAUAUUGCACAAUGGGCGCAAGCCUGAUGCAGCCAUGCCGCGUGUAUGAAGAAGGCCUUCGGGUUGUAAAGUACUUUCAGCGGGGA
rnacentral:rRNA from 1 species